GGAAGGGCCCCUCCCUAUAUGCUUGUUCUACGCUGUGUAAAGCCCAUCCUGCGAAGACAACUCGACGAUUAGAGUCAGACUCACUCUACUGAAACAAGAGGGCAGCAGCAGUAGCAGUAACAGUAGCAAGGGAUGCACAAAGCAAGAUGCCGUCAUCGGGCAGUUCACCAUUGAGAAGUUGAAUGACGUUGAUGUAGCCUGGGCUCCCCUGUACGGCUUCAAGUUCGUCAACUACCCCGACUCCGACCUCAUCAUUGACUGCACGGUGCUCGUGUGUUCCGGCAACAUCGUCGCUCCGUACAGGAAGAUGCAUGCCAAGCAACGGUCCCUCCAACAGUUGCUACAAAAUGCCCCAAACGCAAGGCUACAAUAAACGUCGGAAGCGUUACGUCGGUAUGUCACGUGACAUCGUCCAUGCUGAAAGAGGUUUGACAGCACGAACCAGGAUUAAGCUGAAGUACAACUAAAACAUCACGUGGGACAGGUACAACUGUGGAGAGGUUGCUGCUUCUAGUGGCUGUCAGGGGGACUCUGUUGUGAAAUGUUCCCCCUUCCUUUGUAGACAAAUGAUAUCAUUUCUAUCACCGGGGUAUAUAUUAAAGGUGUCGUUGUUUGUCCGGGGCUUAUAUGUGAUGAAGCAUAUUAUAGGGCCAUAGUCUAAAACAUACCAUCUACGUAGAGCAUGCAUUCGUAUAUGUAAUGACACUCACAUCUAUGUAGAUGAUACUCUCUUAGACUGCGUAAAACAUAGAUACGUAGAAGAUAUAGAUGAUACAUUCGCCAACGUACAUUUUACUUCCAUAUCCAUAUGUGAUAUUAGUACCGUGCCUGUCCUUACUGAGACCGUUGUGUUGUGUUGUUAGUUUAAACAUGCGGUGGAAAUAGUGUAUACAGAUAUAUAAUUUAUAUUUGGCAGCAUGUUAGUCGUAUAGUUUCGUCCUUUCUGUAUUUUAUUUUCGCAGCUAAAACGAUUUCGAGGUAAAAUAAAAAACAAACCGUAUAUUGGUAAGAGUUCCUCCCGUUCCCCCAUCCCAAAUAAUAGUUAUGAAUUAAUAUAUGCUAAAAUUAUUAACAAAACUGAACACAACAAUUACUAGAGAACUCACACAAAUGACUAAAAGUCCAAACUUUAAGUUAGGGUUAGGGUUAGGGUUAGGUUUAUAGUUAGGUUUAUAGUUAGGUUUAAAGUUGGGGGAACGGAAGGAACUCUUUCCACCUACUGAACUGCCUAUUUAGCCCCUUUGGCCUAUUAUUGCCCCUUUGGCCCAUAUCAACAUAUGGCCGAACGAGCUAUAAUAGGCCGUUUCCGCAACCUGUUGAAGUUAUUGCUGAAUAUUUAGUGUGAAUAUGCACUUACUCUGUGCUCUGUGACGUGGUGACUUGAUUGACAAAGUAAACCAGCACUAAUGUAUCACUGCUCAUCAAUCCUACUUUCUUAGCUACCUGUUCAUUUAUAUACCCUGCAACCAUUAACUUCAUCAAGAGUCUGCAACUAUCAUACGGAUAACCCAGAAAAGAUCUCUAUGUUCAUCAAAUAUCAUCUUCUAAAAUGCCAAUCAAGCAACUAUCACACGGAUAUCAACUAUAUAUAGCAUACACAACAGUAAUCAUUAGCAUUUGUCAAUCAACUAAAGGUACUACUUACUCCAAGAGUCGGAAUUAUCCACUUUUGAACGUCCUUUAUCUUGACACAAAACACACUGAUAAUUACUUACUGCGCACAAGAUGCGCCCUGCUAAGUUAGUGCUAACAACCGUCUCGCGUGUUAAUGCUCAACCGUGCUCGUGCAGCACGGGUGUCCGCGAUAUAACAUGAUUCCGAAUGUUUUGGUAAUUGUUGUCCUCAUCAUAAAUUCUUUUCAAGAUAUAUUAGAUAGCACUACGCCAUCAUCACCACUUAUUAAUUUACACCAUGCAUUCUCUCUGCAUGUUUUAUUUUGUUUUGAUUUUACUUUACUCGUUAUAACUUCGAAAAUGACCAAAUGACCACACAGAAGGCAGAAGUAGUUUUCUUCCAUCUUUUCAUACAAAAUAAGGUAUUGUUUGUUUUCACAAGUGAUACCUACGUACAAAUUACAUCAAAAUGGAUGUAUAUUCUGCUAGUUACAUGUGUGUAUGACUCAAUCCUCUGUUCCUCUGUCGACUCGAAGAUAAAUUUUCCUUUAAUUGUUUUAGUGAAACCAACCACAAUUUUGUAUCAACUAUUUUUGAUGUCCAUUGAUGUAAGUCAGCAUCCCCAAGCGGUGGGUUUGUUUUAUCUACACGUCCAAGUCAAAUCUGCCUGUAACUUUCAAAACGCAUGUCUACUGUGCACCAAGCUUUGCAUUUACAAUAGACAAGUGUCAAUACUUAUCACUGUCUUACUACUCAGCGAUGUACAUCCUAAUCCUAAACCAUGAAUGAUAAUUUGACCUUAUUGAGUAGAUGGGCGAAGGAAUGGCUGAUUAAAUAUAAUCCUGACAAAACUGAAACUAUUCUUUACAAGACAGUGACCAACCUAUUAAACUAUAUUUUGAUGGAGUUAGUAUAGGUUGAUUUUCACAAACACCUGGGGUUAACUUUUUCUUCAAAUGGUAGUUGGUCAUGUCACAUCGGAAAUAUUGUGGAAAAAACCUCUAAAGUGAUCGGUGCCUUAAGAAAAUUUAAAUAUAUAUUGAACAGGAAAACGUUAUCAAGAAUUUAUACAGUGUCUAUAAGGCCACAUUUUGAAUAUGCGAGUGAGGUAUGGGAUGGGUGUCUGAUUGAAGAUUCAAACAAGUUAGAAAGACUACAGCUUGCGGCAGCUCGUAUAGUAACUGGCCGACCCAAAUACACGCCGAGUAGAGUUCUUUAUUACGAGACUGGAUGGGAAUUGCCAUCAGAGAGAAGAAAGAAGCGUAAAUUAAACUUGUUUUAUAAGAUUAAACAUGACAUCGCCCCGUCUUUUUUAAACGAAUUGUUACCACCUGUUGUAGAAAAAAGAACUCAUUAUAACUUACUUAAUGCUGAGAAUUAUACUGUACCCAAUACAAGACUAAAAUAUUCAAUAACUUCAUUUAUUCCGUCAACCAUAAAAGCCUUGAACAAUCUCCCGUCAACUGUAAGAAACUGUGACUCCAUUUCCUCAUUUAGAAGAAACAUUACAACAAUGAGUAAUAGUGCCCCAUCAUCCUUUUCAUCUGGUAUACGUAAUCUAAAUAUUUUACACACAAAGUUAAGAUACAAUGUAAGUACGCUCAACUAUGAUUUGUAUAGAAUCAACAUUAUAACCGAUCCAUCCUGUUCUUGUGGAUGUCUCUGUGAACAUGUAUAUCAUUAUUUCUUGGAUUGUCCCCGUUAUAAAACACAUAGAGAAACUUUGUUAGCUAACAUAGGUGAUAUUUUACAAAACAGAUAUUCACUAGAUAUAUGUCUUAUUUUAUAUGGCAAUGCAGACCUCUCAACUGAAGAAAAUCUGAAUAUCUUCAAACAUGUCCAUCACUACAUCAAUCAAACUAAACGAUUCCUCUGUUCUUCCUAAUCUGUUAUAUUCUCAAACUCAAGAUCUCUCAUGUAUAUGUUCUCUGUAUAAUUGUUGUAAAUAUUGAGAGAGGGCGUCAUUAAGUUGGAUAACUUGUGCCCAUGCCUUCUCCUCAAUGAAUAAAAUAUGAAUCCUAAUCCAGGACCUUUAACUAAUCAGUUCAAAAUUGUUCCCUUGUAUAUUGCAGCCUUAUAGAUAAAAACCGAUAUGCUUGAAGCCUAAUGUGAAGAUAACGAUAUUAUUUGUAUAUCAAAAACCUGGCUACAUAGCGGUACAACUAAUAACGAAGUUACACUUCCAGGAUUCAAAAUAUCCCGUAAAGACAGGACGAGUCGCAGUGGGGUGUUGUAAUUUACGUUAAGAGUAUUCUUGAUGUUGAACAUAUGCAUACAUUAGAUAUAGCAGAACGGGAAGCUAUUUGGAUAAAACUUAAACUUAAAGAAACAAACUCACAUAGUUGGCACAACGUACAGAGCAGAUAAAAGUGAAACAUUGAGACAUGAUUAAUCAAGCAAUAAGAGAUGCUGUUGACGAAGUCUGAAUACAUCUGUUGUAGGCGACUUUAAUAUGAACAUUUUGAAAGAUGGUGAUUUAAAUGUGAUCAACUGCAACUUUUGAACGGUCUUUCUCAAGUUAUUAACGAUCCUACCAGGAUAACCGUAACCUCGAGUACUUGAAUACAUCUCUUGUUUCUGCUGCUGACAAUGUCCUAGAUUCAGGAGUCUUGGAUCCUAUACGUGGUGACCAGUGUACACUAUUUGUUACCAUAAAUAACAACACUUGUAAUGUAAGAAAUGUAAAACAUACCAAAGAUAUGACAUAUGAUAUAGUUAACAAUGUCAAUUGGAAUUCUCUGCUAAUAUCUCAGGAUGUUUCUAAAUUGCAGCGUCUGGUCCGAACGGUUUAAUCAACAGAUUCUUAAAAUGUUAUCUAAUCAAAUAGCCGAACCACUAGUGAGGUUACUGGAUAUAUGUCUUUAAAACAUAGUGAGUAUCCGAAAGUCUGGACUGACUGACUGAGUUUAGUUUAACGCCGCUUUUAGCAAUAUUUCAGCAAUAUCACGGCGAGGAACACCAGAAAUGGGCCUCACACAUUGUACCCAUGUGGGGAUUCGAACCCGGGUCUUCGGCGUGACGAGCCAACGCUUUAACCACUAGGCUACCCCACCGCCCCCGAAAGUCUGGAAAGAAGCGACGGUUGUACCAAUUCACAAGAAGGGUUGUACGGUUUCACAAGAAGGGUUGUACCAAUUGACAAGAAGGGUUGUAUUCAUGAAUGUAGUCAUUACAGGCCAGUUGCUUUAACAAGUCAUUUGUCUAAAAGUUUUUGAAAAAUGCGUCUUCAAAUGCUCAGAUGUUAGUAUCAUCUAUGUACAUGAUAAAAUGGAAUUCAGACUGUGGCCCUAACAUGCUUCCUUACUUAUAACCCUGACAACUAUGGAAUACUGAAGGUGAUAUAAUUAAUAUAAGAUAAUUAACCGUUACUGGGAACCGGUUCUGUUUUAACUAACUCAUUUCAAAUUCUCAGUGUGUUUUGAUUAUAAAAUGUCAAAAACUGUCCAGUCCGUUAUGCCCUAUUCACGUUAUAACUGGUUGAAGUUUGUUGUCCUACAGUAAUGUUACAUGUUGUGUCGAUGAUGAUUUCGUUGUGCCCCUAAUGUUGCUGUGUGUUACCCAUGCAUUCAGGAAAUAAACCUUGGACUAGA